rnacentral:rRNA from 1 species
UUUUGUAGUUUACUACGAAAAAUGACUGAGCGGCGAACGGGUGAGUAACGCGUGAGCAAUCUACCUUAGUUACUGGGAUAGCCCGAGGAAACUCGGAUUAAUACCGGAUAUUCUUAUUUUUUCACAUGAAGUUUUAAGGAAAGGUCAGCCGAACUAAGAUGAGCUCGCGUUCUAUCAGCUAGUUGGUGGGGUAAAAGCCUACCAAGGCUACGACGGAUAGCUGGUCUGAGAGGACGAUCAGCCACACUGGGACUGAGACACGGCCCAGACUCCUACGGGAGGCUGCAGCAGGGAAUAUUGUGCAAUGAGCGAAAGCUUGACACAGCCACACCGCGUGUGGGAUGACGGUU